GGGGAUAUAGCCCAAUGGCACAGCGCCUGCCUAGCAAGCAUGAGCUCCUGAGUUCAAUUCCCAGUACCCA
rnacentral:tRNA from 1 species